rnacentral:pre_miRNA from 1 species
UCGCUCUCAAAGUGGCUGUCGUGUGCGUUAAGUAGCCAUAUCACAGCCAGCUUUGAUGAGCGGGG